rnacentral:rRNA from 1 species
GGACGGGUGAGUAACACGUGGGCAACCUGCCUGUAAGACUGGGAUAACCCCGGGAAACCGGGGCUAAUACCGGAUAAUACUUUUCAUCACCUGAUGGGAAGUUGAAAGGUGGCUUUUAGCUACCACUUACAGAUGGGCCCGCGGCGCAUUAGCUAGUUGGUGAGGUAACGGCUCACCAAGGCAACGAUGCGUAGCCGACCUGAGAGGGUGAUCGGCCACACUGGGACUGAGACACGGCCCAGACUCCUACGGGAGGCAGCAGUAGGGAAUCUUCCGCAAUGGACGAAAGUCUGACGGAGCAACGCCGCGUGAGUGAUGAAGGUUUUCGGAUCGUAAAGCUCUGUUGUUAGGGAAGAACAAGUGCCGUUCGAAUAGGGCGGCACCUUGACGGUACCUAACCAGAAAGCCCCGGCUAACUACGUGCCAGCAGCCGCGGUAAUACGUAGGGGGCAAGCGUUGUCCGGAAUUAUUGGGCGUAAAGCGCGCGCAGGCGGUCCUUUAAGUCUGAUGUGAAAGCCCACGGCUCAACCGUGGAGGGUCAUUGGAAACUGGAGGACUUGAGUACAGAA